UAAGUACUCCCUCCGUUCCAAAUUACUUGUCGCAGGUAUGGUUGUAUCUAGAUGUAUUUUAGUUCUAGAUACAUCCAUUUCUGCGACGAGUAAUUUGGAACGGAGGGAGUACAUA
rfam:Triticum aestivum genome assembly, contig: Triticum_aestivum_CS42_TGACv1_scaffold_643173_T_4AL-0.298735_4DS-0.209126